rnacentral:rRNA from 1 species
GAGGAAAAGAAACCAACCGGGAUUGCCUUAGUAACGGCGAGUGAAGCGGCAAAAGCUCAAAUUUGAAAUCUGGUACCUUCGGUGCCCGAGUUGUAAUUUGGAGAGGGCAACUUUGGGGCCGUUCCUUGUCUAUGUUCCUUGGAACAGGACGUCAUAGAGGGUGAGAAUCCCGUGUGGCGAGGAGUGCGGUUCUUUGUAAAGUGCCCUCGAAGAGUCGAGUUGUUUGGGAAUGCAGCUCUAAGUGGGUGGUAAAUUCCAUCUAAAGCUAAAUAUUGGCGAGAGACCGAUAGCGAACAAGUACAGUGAUGGAAAGAUGAAAAGAACUUUGAAAAGAGAGUGAAAAAGUACGUGAAAUUGUUGAAAGGGAAGGGCAUUUGAUCAGACAUGGUGUUUUGUGCCCUCUGCUCCUUGUGGGUAGGGGAAUCUCGCAUUUCACUGGGCCAGCAUCAGUUUUGGUGGCAGGAUAAAUCCAUAGGAAUGUAGCUUGCCUCGGUAAGUAUUAUAGCCUGUUGGGAAUACUGCCAGCUGGGACUGAGGACUGCGACGUAAGUCAAGGAUGCUGGCAUAAUGGUUAUAUGCCGCCCGUCU